rnacentral:rRNA from 1 species
GAACGCUGGCGGCGUGGAUUAGGCAUGCAAGUCGAACGGUAUCAUCCUUUCGGGGGUGAGAGAGUGGCGAACUGGUGAGUAACACGUAGGUUAUCUACCCUCAAGACGGGGACAACCCCAGGGAAACUUGGGCUAAUACCGGAUGUGAGCAACUUUUAGUUGUUUGAAAGGUGGCGUAAGCUGUCGCUUGGGGAUGAGCCUGCGUCCUAUUAGUUAGUUGGUGAGGUAACGGCUCACCUAGGCAAUGAUAGGUAGGCGGCCUUAACGGGUGGUCGCCCACACUGGGAUUGAGAUACGGCCCAGACUCCUACGGGAGGCAGCAGUCGAGAAUAGUCUACAAUGGCCGGAAGGCUGAUAGUGCGACGCCGCGUGAACGAGGGAGCCCUUCGGGGUGUAAAGUUCUUUUCUAUACGAGCAGUACUAUAUAUAUGGAUAGUAUAUAUAGAGGGAUAGUAGUAUAGGAAUAAGCAACGGCUAACUCCGUG